UUUAGUUGAGUUUAUUUUUAAGGUAUCGUUUGUUCGAGGAUAAGCAAAAAGUGACUAUUCCAGGGAUAGGUAUAAAUUGAGGUAUAAGCGGGGAUUAGAUCAAUUUUGCGUUUGGAUGAAAAUUGGGUUAUUCCUGGGAAUAAAAAAAUAGCGUUUGGUUAGGUAAAAUGGAAUAAAAAAGAUAGUAGAUUUUAUAAAUAAAAAAUAAUCAUAUUAUCCUCUUAUUAUAUUUAAAUUUAAAUUU
rnacentral:lncRNA from 1 species